UGGGGAAUUUUGGACAAUGGGGGCAACCCUGAUCCAGCCAUGCCGCGUGAGUGAAGAAGGCCUUCGGGUUGUAAAGCUCUUUCAGCCGGAAAGAAAUCGCAUUGGCUAAUACCUGAUGUGGAAGACGGUACCGGAAGAAGAAGCACCGGCUAACUACGUGCCAGCAGCCGCGGUAAUACGUAGGGUGCGAGCGUUAAUCGGAAUUACUGGGCGUAAAGCGUGCGCAGGCGGCUUUAUAAGACAGGCGUGAAAUCCCCGAGCUUAACUUGGGAACUGCGCUUGUGACUGUAAGGCUAGAGUAUAGCAGAGGGGGGUAGAAUUCCGCGUGUAGCAGUGAAAUGCGUAGAGAUGCGGAGGAAUACCGAUGGCGAAGGCAGCCCCCUGGGCUAAUACUGACGCU
rnacentral:rRNA from 1 species